AAAUUCCUAAAAUUUAUGUUUUAGUAACAUGUUUAGCCUUCUCUUGGAGGUUCCCUAAAAUUUUUGUUUUAGUAACCUGUUUAGGUGCGCUAAAUAAGCCAUGGGAUGGUCGAUGAGUGGUUUGGAUGCAGACUACUGCUCAACUUCCGAUCCCUCAACCUCUCUCUCCACCAGCCGGCGGCGGCGGAGAUUCGCCGGAGAUCAGGCGGAGGCACUGCGGGCUGCUCCUCUCCCCGCCCCGCGCCGCCGUUUCCUCCUCGUCGGGCCACCGUCCGUCGCCGCCAUCAGAUCGUCGAUCCCGUGCCACCACCAGGAGGCCGCGCGCCCGAGCAGGUGGAUUCGGGGCCGCGCCCUCCUCUCCUCCGAGCUCACCGAGGUGCGCCUCCAUCCUCCGAUCUCACCGCCACGCUUCUACUUCUACCCCCCAUUUUCCUUGUAGAGUAGAGUAGUAACUUGUUGGAAUCAAUUGGUGUAUGAUUUGCUCACAGUAAAUGGUAUGCGUAGUGUAGCGCUGUCAAUUUACAACAAUUGAUUUAUUAUUCUGUCAUGCAAAUUGUACAGUGAUUUCAUUUCGUUUUACCUGAAAUUAGUGCCACCGCCUGGUUCAACCGUUAGUUGGUGCUAUUCUAUAUCACAACCGGUAUGGAUACUCGGCAAUGUCACUGAUUGCUGUCCAUCUACUGGUAAUUACCAAAUGACAGAAUAUCAAAAUGUAGUUGCACCAGACAGAGAUAAUAGUAAUCUACCUCAAUUCCAAACAUACAACUAAGUAUAUGAAGAAUUUGCUCACUGAAUUAACUUUUAGAUGAUUAUUUCUGCAUCCGUCCUAAAAUAUAAGGAAUUUUGGAUGGAUGGAACUCAUCCUAGAUUUGUAAUACUAGGAUAUGUCCCAUUCAACCAAAAAUCCCUUAUAUUUUGUGACGGAGAGAGUAGUAGAUUACUAGUAACAUGUUGCACAUGUAAUUUGGUAUGUAGGUGCAAAAUCGGACAAAUGGUUGUCUUUAGAUCAUAUAAACAGUAUACUUUAGUUAAAAGAAAAGGAAUCAAAUCAAUACUUAAAAAAACAAAUAUGUACUAAAUUUUCAGUGCACAUUUCGAGCUAUACUAACUAGUGCAUGAAAGUAACAUAUUUGGGUACUUUAUUUCCUUAUUAUGCUAGUUGUAUUUCUUGAUUUGGGUGAUAAUUAACAACAGCAAAUAAAAAGUUCGUAUCAUCUGAAUUAUGCUGUUAGGAGGAUUAAAAGAUAAUUAAUAUUUGGAUUUCCUGAUCAACAGUGAGGAUGCAUAGUCAAACUAACAGUGCAUAGUAUAUAACUUUCUAACAAAAUCUGAGCAAAUCGAUAACAGUGUUAGGAGAAUUCAAUAGAUAGGGUUGCCCAUUUUAAGAUGGUGCCAUACAGAAAAUGAACACUCUUUGUGUGAAAAGGGUUCAGACAGUGAAUUAUUCGCCCAAAUGGAGCGAAUUUACAAUUGUUUUAGAUAAUAGAAAUAGUUUGUAUACGAGCCACUACCUUUAAUUGGGCACACGACCAGCAUUGACACUGAAAACAUAUAAGCAACAGACAGACACAGCUAUAGUUUUAAUUUUUUUUUAGCAAAGAUCAAUCGUACUGAUUGACCCAGCUUUAUAAGAAACCCAAACAGGACCAGUCAAGAAAAAAACACCAAACAGAACAGAACCCAUACAGUAAAAGAAAGGAAAUCAACCUGCUAACAUCUUUUUUUUUUGAAACGAACCGCACAAGACAGUGCGAGUUUCAUGUAUUGAUAAAGCAGGAGAAAAAUACAAGUUAUAGUCCUGGAAGACUAUAGCCCAGAAAGAAAAAAACAACCACACCACGCGCCUACAACCACAAACGCUGCAAGAGCAAAACAGGAAAUCUUCGCGACGACGCCUCCAAGGAGGAAACGACACCAAGGAUGCCACCGUCGCCCGUCCCGAGAGCCAGGAGAAGGUUUUCACCCGAAGAAUGGGAGAGGCAAGAGUUACAGCAACACCCCAAGGAGAGAGCGGCGCCCACAGACGUUGUUGUUGCCGGCCCGAAGGCAGGGCUUUCGUCCGAAUUUCGUCCCUUCCCAAAAAAACUCCUGCACGCUCCACCGCCACCACCGUCAAAAGCCUUCGACGCGUGGCCACCGCGCCGGCGCCAUGCCGUCGGCAAACCGUCAAGGAGGAGCUCGACCCCCGACACGCUCCAACGACAUCCACACAGUUGGGUUGGAUGGGGAGAGGGUGAGAUGUGGCCAUCUUUGUCGGCAAAGGCGCCGUCGCAGGAGGACGAAGUUUGGGUUGGAGCCCGUCGAAGAACCGAUGCUCCUCCUUGACAGUGCAAUCCGUCGACUCCGCCACGAUCCCGUUGCCCACGCCAUCCUCGGGCUAGAGGACUGCUUCACCAUCGCCUAGCCACCCUCCGCACCAUGCCGAUGACACCCUCCGUCACAGUGCUCCGCAUCGGUUCACCGAGACAUCCACCGUAGCACGGCGCUCUCGCUCCAGAUCCGGCGGAGGGGACCGGAUCUUGCAGAGAGAGAGAGGCCAGGUGCACACCACACAAGCCAAAGCCGCCGCCAGGGAGGACACCGUCACGUCGCCGCUGCAAAGAAAUCCACUGGCGCGGCCUGGCAAGCGUGUUGAAGCUCUGGUCAGCCACCCUGGCUUGGGCUCCGCCGCCGCCGCCGCCACCACCAGUCGUCGCCAUCACCACCUCUCGAACGCACCGCCGCCACCGCUCAUCCUCGCCGCCAGGCGCCACCCCCCCAGAUCCGGCCGGACGGCACGGAUCUGGACGGAACGUCGCUGCCAACACCACCAGACGCCGCCACCACUACUCAGCCCCGCCACCAGCUGCCGCCCCACAAGAUCCCGUCGGCAUGGAUCUGGACGGCCACCGCCACCACCGACGCCGACGCCGACGUUGCCGCUGCGUGGCCCUCCGCGUGGGCCACACGCCGUCGCCACUGCCUCCGCGCGGCCCUCGCGCCGCCACGCGUCCCAGCCCAGAUCCGGCCCCCCGGAUCCAGGCUCGCUGGCGCUGGAUCCCGGCGUCGACGCUGGCGCCGUGCUCCCGUCGUCCGGUCUCGCGGUGCCCCAACCGCUGCACCAGGGCGAGGGAGAAGAGGAGCCUCGUAGCCGCCAUCUUUGCAGCCGGCCGGCUUUGUCAGCGGCUACUCUGGCGGCGGUGAGGCGGGGAGAGAAGGGGCCGGGAGAGAAGGGGCGACGGCGUUUUCGCCGCCCGCGUCUUCCCUGGGGCGGAGCGACUGAGCGCGUUGUGGGGGCCACCUGCUAACAUCUUAGCUAACAACCUGCUAACAGAGAGCACUAUGACAGACAAAGCUAUACUCCGUAGUUUACUUAGCAAUACACUAAACACCACUACCUUCCUCCAGAUAGACCAGUUAAUGUUGUUUCCGGACAUGACAUCACAUAUUGAUCAUAGGCUGCAGUGUCAUCACUGUGAACCUCAGUGGUGAAGAAACUUGGUGAGUAGUCUGACAAUGUAAGAACCCUCUCGAGGUACUACACAACUUGUUGCAUUCUUGGCCUCACAUUGGGAGAUGGAUGCGAGCACAGUAACCCAAUCUUUAGAACUAACUCUGCGUCCUCUGCUACACAAUCCUCCAGUCUCAGGUCUAUGGUGUCGGUGAUCGAACCAUUUUGCCAUGUCUCGAGCACCCAGUCCACCAACACUAUAGGGUCGUCACGAGCACUCCUUGUAAUGCAAACACAUCGGUUGCCUUGGUUGCCUUGCCCAGUCUUGAUAGCUCAGGGGCAAUAUAUCCCCAUGUACCAGCGAAAUGCGUAGUGUGCGCAUCAGCUCCAUGGUCAUGCAACCUUGCAAGGCCAAAGUCACCAAGCCUCCCGUUCAUGUCGGUAUCAAGGAGCACGUUGCUCGUCUUGAUAUCACGGUGGAUGACUACGUGCUCCCAGUCCUCAUGUAGGUAAAAGAGGCCAGAUGUGAUACCUUUGAUUAUGCCAAGCCUCAUAGCCCAACCUAUAGUAGGUGUGUUAUCCUGAUCAUGUAAGUACUUAUCGAGGCUGCCAUUGGGCAUAUAGUCGUAGACUAAGAGAAGCUCCUUUUUUAUCGGCAGUAGCCUAACAAUUGCACAAGGUUACGGUGGCGGACAUGGCCAAGGAUGGCAAUCUCCGCCACAAACUCCUUCAUUCCUUGCUUUGAUUCCGGAGAAACGCUUUUUAUAGCAACAUUCUGCUUAGUAACAGCGAGCACCCCUUUGUAAACCCUCCCAAAUCCUCCUCUGCCUAAAAAGCAUCUUGUCCUCAAAUCCACUAGUGGCUGUCACUAGAUCUUUGUACCUGAAAGAGCGUGGCCCACAUUUGGCCUCCCAAUCUUCACAUUUCCCAGCUUUCUUCUUGCGGCAUAGCAAAACAACAAUAACAGCAACAAGGACAGACAUGGCAACCAGUACUGAUAAUAUAACAAUGGCUAAUAUGUUAUGGUUAGGAAGUUGACAACGAUCUUGCUCCUGUCUCUGAUUGUUUGGAGGUUUAAGAUUAUCUUGCUUUGCAAAAUCAUGAGCCACUUCGAGAGGCAGUGCAGAGUGGUUAAGUGGCUGAGCUUCCCCAUCUGUGGUGAAGCUCCAACCGAGAAUGUAAUGGCCGCUGUGUGUGGGGCCUGUUGCAGAUGAAAACCCUAUAGAUGCUAAUUGAUUAUCUUGCGAUAUCAUGGAGAUUAGACUGGACUCUGACAAUGAUAUCAGUGGACGUCGAGGUUUAUCCAUCAAGUAAGGGGUGUAGUACUCUGCGGGUUGAGGCUGAAGGGAAAUCAAGCUGCUGCUGUCUAACCCAACAUGGUUGUUGUUGAUGUCGAAGAAUUCACUGUCUCUUUUGGUAUCGAAUUCGACAGCAAACAAGAAGUUUUCAUCAUCAAAGGGAUCAAGUCCCAUGUACAUACCUUGCAAGUUGUUCUGUGAUCCAAUGUUUGUAGAUAUUACCAAUGCAAACCCAUUAGCACUCCUGUUGGCAUAAUCAGAGGAGAUGACGAACACAAAACUUGUCGAGAAAGAAGGUAUUUUUCCAGCUGACGAAGGGAAGCUCCGGGAAGCAUGGCUACUUUUUUGGGGGAUGUUGCCAAGGUUCAGGAGUCCCCUUGUGACUGAAGCUUCCCCGUUAAGACUAAGAUCAGUAUCUUUAAAUCCAUUGCAGAUGAAUUGGUCAGAAUCAGCAUCUAGCUUAGUGGCAUGGAGGAUGAGGAAAAGGAGAAAGAAGAAGGGCAGCAGAGAGGAAGGAAGCAUGGCUAGUUGGCUCUCCUUCCUUCUGCAAGAGAUGGGAGGGGAUGAAAAAAGAAGAAUGCAGUAAGUAGAUGGAUGCAUCACAGGCUACACCGGGCAGCUUUUAGAGAGUUUAUCAAACUUUUAAAACUUAGGACUUAGUUUAAAAACAGGAAAAAUGGUGUAUGCGUAGAUUUUCUUUGAAAAGUCAUACUUAAACUUAUUCUAGGUGAUGUAAAAUUGUUGGUCAAAUUUUUAAAGAUUUGAUAAAAUCUUGUUGGAAGUCCUAACCAUCGAAUAUGACGGGAGGGAUAAUCUUCUUUGGCUGGUGCAUGAAAGCCUGCUACAUUGUACAAUUUUCGUCAAUUGGUGGGAUACACAUAGUUAAGCA